GCCUGGGUGGCUCAGUGGGUUGAGUGUCUGACUUCAGCUCAGGUCAUGAUCUCACACUCCGUGAGUUCAAGCCCCGCGUCAGGCU
rnacentral:tRNA from 1 species